GAAAGGGGUAAUGCUUUUAUAUUAGUUUUUCUAUAACAAGAAAAAUCAGUUUUGUUUUUUAUCAUUUUUUUUUUCUUAAAAAAGAAUUUAAAAACCCAAGGCACCCAGAACAUCCCACAGGCCCAAAGAAUAAAAAAGGUAUGUCAUCAGGGCUGCUGGGCCCUUCCUCCUUGCCUGGCACUGCCCUUCCGCCUGACUUCUGCCCAAGGCCCCAGCAACCUCAGGAGACUUUCCCUCUGGCCUCAAUGGGGUUUCCCAUCACAGACAUGCCUGUGGCCGGCGAGGGCCUGGCAGGGAGUGGCUGCCUGGGCACCUGGGAGUCAGGGCAGGCAGGCCAGGGUAGCAGUCCCAAAGGUUCCUGUCCCCAAAGGGAAGAAAAGGAACAAAAGUCAGCUUCUGUGAGUUCCAGAGGGUGGCAGGCACCUGGCCACAGAGAGCACCAAGAUAACUCUGUCUUCUCCAGUGGACGGACGAACAGACGGAUGAGCAGGUGGCAAGCUGUUCUGGCCAGUUCUGGCUGGGGCAAGAUAUGUCGGUGGCAUAGGCCAUAGAGGGCUGUUUUCAUGGGACGUGUGUGUGUGUGUGUGUGUGUGUGUGUGUGUGUGUGUGUGUGCGCGCGCGCAUGCGUGCACAUGCGGGUCCAAGGUGAAGGGAGCAGGCGCCCGUGAGUGCCAGGGCAGGGUCAGACCCUUCCCUGAGUCUGCAGGAGUCCAAGGGCAUGAUGGCAAUGGAGGGCGUGGGAUGGAGAGGGGAACUGUAUGGUGGGCUUGCUCCGUGCAGCCAGCAGUGUGUGACUGUGUCAUGUUGCCUGCACGUGUCUGGCCGUGGGGUACUACAGGAACAAGGGGGAAUGGGAGACUGUGUGUCCAGCCUGUGUUGUGGCAGUGGGGUGCAGGGUGGCUGGUGAGGGUGGCACUGGGUGUGUCUGUGAGCAUGGCAGAGUGGGGCUCACAGGGCACAGGUACGUGCUGCAGAAAGGGGUCUGGCGGUCCGGUGUCCUGUAGAACACGUGGGAGAGUCAGGGAGGCCAGGGCAGAAGUGCCAGCUUUGGGAAGGUGGAUUAGAGCUGGGGGGCCCCCAGGGGACUCUGGGAGGGCCAGGCGACUGCAGGCAGGAGGCAGAGUUGCCCCUGGGAGCCCAGAACCAGCCGGCCACCCACUGAGAGGUGUUCUUGCUGAUGUGACCAGGCCUGGUAUUGACUAGAGGGCUUUUAGGUCCCUCUGGCCACUCCCCAGGGCCUCUCCCAAGGCCCCACUCAACAAACCCGACCGAGGCCAAUGUCCUCCAGAGAGGACAGAUUCUCUCCCAUCCCAGGACUCCCCAUCCCCCUCAAUGAGGGAUAUAGCAUCCUCACUGGACAGCUGUUCACCCCCAUCAUUGACCCCUGGCUCUGCCUGAGGACAAUGCCUAGAGAGAAGGAUCUCCACUUCAUACUCCUGGGCUCCGAGAACAGAGGAAGGGGAUUCCCAAGAGCCUCUUCUCCAUGGUAGGAUAACCGCCCCACGCACACUCUUCUGUCAGCCACACCUCCCUCUGUCAUCCACCCAUGGGAUCCUCACCACCACCUUCAAGUCUCCACUCUGACCCAAGCCCCUGCUUUCAGUGUCCUAACAGUGGCCCAAGGGCCCCUUCACAUGGCCACAGCCUGACCCUGUGACCCCUAGCUCAGCUCAUUCUGAUAUUCCCUUCUGACCACAUCUCUCCUCCUGGCUACUCACCACACUGUGCCCACUCUCCAACGUCCCUCUCCAGAGACCCUGCCCACCCACACUCCUCCUGUCUGCACCUCCUUCCUUCCCAGCCUGACCCCCGGGGUCCACAACUGCAGCCAUUCUCUUGUCAACACCCUCAACGUCCUUGUUCCUUACCCUUCUGUCCCACACACCUGGCCAAAACCCCAGCCAUGGAUGGAUCCAAUGGUCCAUCUUCUCCACACCCACCCCGGUCUGCUGAGCACCUCCUGUUGCACAGAGAAAACAGAAGGCUGAAGGCAUCGGGCUGAUGUGACUUCAUGUUCAGCCACCAAGCCACUGUCCUGUGUGUGACUGCAGCCUUCAUCCCUCCUGACACAGUGGAAGGACUGAGCCUCCUGCCAAAGCCAGACCCUUCUACUGUGUCCACAGGGCUAGCUUCUCCCUGCUCUCCUCUCUUACAUCUUUAACUCCCCCUCCGGGCCAGCCCCUCCCAUCAACUCUGUUUCUGAAAAGGGUGCAAAGUAAACAGAGUCCCUCCUGAACUUCACACCUCUUCCCCGUGCCACCCUCUCAUCUCAUCCCUUUACGGCCAAACUUCUUGACAGAGUUGUCUAUGCUCCCUGGGUCCACUCCUUGCCAGCUACUUUCUCCACCUUCACUGCCCUUGAGGCUGCUCCCCCACAAGGUCAUGGGUAACCUUCUUGUGGAUAAAUCUGACAGGCCUUUGAUAGUGCUCACCUCCACCUGCCUCUCAGCAGCAUUGACACAGCUACUCUCUCCACCAGAGCCGUGGGGAUGCACGGGUGUAGACACAUGCAUGCGCGAGUGCAUGCAAGCAUGCACACGUCCUGCACCUGUGAAUGUGUUGUGGAGUACAUGUAUGUGUGUCUGUGUGCGCUCUGUGUCCUGAGUGUGUGUUAUCCAUGCACACGUAUGCAUGUUUGGACAUAUGUGAGCACGGGUACAUGUCGGUUGGUGCACUGUGUGCACAUGUAGGGUGCUUGUGUUGCAUAUGCACAUAAUCUGCCUCUGUCCCACCUCCUUCCAUAGCCGCUCUGUGUCAGCCCCUUCUGCAGGCUCCCUUGCAGCUGGCCACGGCCUGUCACUCUCCCCAAGCGAGCUCCCCAAGCUUCCUGUGGCCUCAUGACUAUUUCCAGGCUGAUAAUGUCUGGACCCCCAUCUCCAGCCCAGACCUCAACCUCCAGCCCCAGACCCACAUACCUGGCCCACCUCUGGGCAGCUCCCGAGCACACACUCCAGGCCUGCCUAACUCGACACUCCCACCACAACAAAUCUGCUCCCCUAGUACUAUCGUCCAUCUGGAAUUCAAGUUAGACCUGGGGGGCUGUCCUCUCCCUCACCCUGGCCCAGCAGGACUACUCUAGCCUCUGGAGUCUGCCUGUCGCUCCCCCAAAUCCCUUCAGGCCUUCUGCUUGUCUGCAACCUCACUGCCCACCCCCAUCGCCUCUGGCCCGGAUCGCCACAGUAGCCUCCUCCAGGCCCCCACAUCCAUGCCCUGCUUCCACCAUCCCAGUGCCUGUGCCAGUCCCAUCAGGGCGCUCAUCGCCCUGGAGAGUUCCCCAGCCUGUGCUGGCCUCCCACAGCUUUGCCAGCCUCUCACUCAGGGCCUAUACCGGGGUCAGGGACAGGAAGCUGGUGGGGAGAGGUCAGUGUACCCCCCCCCAGACCACCUACCUAUGUCAAAUCCGGUUCACCCCGUCACUAUCGCCUUUCCUCAUCCUCCUCAUCCUCAUCCUCCUCGUCUUCCUCAUCCUCUUCCUCCAACUGGCCCCGGUCCUUGGAAACGUCACCAAACUCAAAGUUGCCUUCUAUGUCCAAGACCUGAAGGUGCUUCAGCCUCCGGAAGGCACUUUCCACCACGGAGCCCACGGCCAGCUUGUUAAACCUGUGCAGGCCACCCAUUUGGGGUCAGUGUCAGAGGCCUAACCCUCAGAGUCCCCACACUUACCCAGCCUAGACGGUAAAGGGGAGGGAACGAGCUCUCCAGGAAGAUGGCACAGGAAGCAUAAAAGAUGUGCGGGGGCUGCUAAGAAGCACGGUGUGUCAUAAAAAGUCCCAGCUAUUCAGUGUGGCUACAGCUUGGCGGGGCAGGAGUGGACGCUGGGCCACUCAUCCAAAAGGGGAAGGUCCCUGUCUGCAAAUGCUCUAAAAUUUAGGAGUGGCGGAAACGGGUGCCUCCUCUCAGCCUGGGAUUACCUCCCUCUGGGAUCAACCCCAAGGCCUGAGGCUCUGGUGCUGCCAGCCUGGGGUUACUUUGAAGGCUGGUGUGGAGUGGCACACAGGCAAGGCCAGGGUUAAGCUGGGCCAGGGACACACCUGGGUUGAAGGGAGGCAGAGGCUGGGCUCUGAUAUCAGGCCCCCUCGAUUCUUUGUGCCUUGGUCCCCAUCCCCCCACACGAGCCCAGGCAUAGGUCACACUCCACCCCAACCCAGCCUGGGGCCUUCUGGGCCACAACUCCCCUGGGAGGGCACAUUCUGCCUCCUCAGAUCUGUCCCUUCUCCCUGAGUUGAAGGGAUGGUUAGGUAGGGUGCUGGGAAGAACCACCCUGACUCUACUGUACCAAAGCUCAUUUCCUGGGGGAGUUGGCUCCCCCGUUAGAAUCAUUCUAAACCCCCAGAGCUCAGCAAGGGCCUGAGCACCUGCUCUGCUGGGUCUGAGGCCCAGGGAACAGCCUGGCCAGCUAUGGGCACAGCCAUCAUGCGUGCUCCCUGGUUCCCUUCCUGCCACAGUAACAUCAAUAAUGUCCACAUGCACUGCUUUUAAAGUUCCUGAAGCCCUUUUACAAACUUAUAAACCUUGCCAGGCUUGGCCAGGACUGUCCCCUCCCUUGAGAGCUGAGGACACAGAGGCUCGGGGCGGGGGGGGGGGGGGGGGGUUCUGUGAUGUACCCAGGGUCACAGAGCCAGUCAGCAGUGAAGCCAGGCUUCAAACACUGACCUCUACCUGGGAGCUGUUCCCACAUGCCUCAACUAUCCCAUUAGAGCCAGGGUUGAACCCAGAGGGGCAUGUGCACUGCCCCAGGGGACCUCCUACCUGAGAAAGAUGCCUUUGAGGUUGGGCGUGGAGUCGAAGGCAUUGGCAGGCACAGUGCUAAUCUUGUUGUUCUGCAGGUACAGGUACUCGAGUGACUCAGGGAGCCCCUCAGGGAUCUCUGUGAGCUGAUUCCCAGCGAUGUCCAGCAGCUAUAUAGAUGACCAGGGGAGUCAAAACACUUAACAUCUUGCAAAGAUCCCACCAACCACCUGACCUAUCUAAAUCUUAUGAUAACCCUGUGAGGUGGGGCCUUUAACUGUCCCCAUUUUCCAGGAGGGGAAACAGAGGUUCACAUGGAUUAAGAGAUCUGUCCAAGGCCACACAGCCUGUAUGAAGCUGGAACCCAAAGCACCUGACUCCAAACCCUUGUUCUAACUGUUAUAUGUCCUACCCAGCUCCUUCUGUCUUCCCACAUGAAUUCACAGCCAAGAUAUCUGAGUGUCACAGUCCUUCCUCCUUAGUACACCUGUCACCCCUAUCAGACUGAAGAUCCCAGAAGGGCAGAGGCCCGGGGUCCUCCAGUGGUUGCAUAUUCCCACACUGGUCCCAGAUGAGGGUGAGGGUGGGGUCCACACAGGUGGGAUUGCUCAUUUGUGGCCUUCAGAGGCCAUGUGGGCAGGGGCCAAGAGAAAGGGUUCAAGGCCCACUGACCUAGGCUGGUCAGUCCUGGGAUCACCACAUGCCUGGAGUCCAGGAAGCAGGUGGGCAGGGAAAUGGGGUGGUUUUCCCAGGAAGCAGAGCAAACAUGCAGCAGGCAGGAGACCUGGACGUGCAUGGGCCCGGCUCACUGCCCUCAGGCUGUCUGCACAUACUCGCUCUGACACACACCUGUGUAGGCACAGGUGGGAUUCCAUCAUCUCUAAUCUCCCUUCCUCACCCUGACAGGAGGGGGCUCAAGGUCAGGAACUGGGGGCCAUGAAUCUAGAUUCAAGAUUCAAGGGGAAAAACCAGCUUCACACCUUAGGGAACCUCCCGGUCACCUCCUCUACCCAGCAGGGCUCCCUGCUCCCCACUGUGUCCCCUCCACACAGCUGUGGCACUUCCUCAUUCAUUCUGAACAUCCUCAUGCCCGCAGGUGCUGGGGAAAUGGAAUCCACUAGAAGCUGCCUCUGGCACUGGAGGUCAGGGUGGCGGAGGAGAUGCACACAGAAUCUGACAAUGACAGCUGGUGGAAUUGGCUGUGUUGAGGGAGCCCAGGGGAGUGGCCUCGACCCAGGCUUGGGUCAGGGGAGUAUAGCAGCCAGCACAGGCAGGGGCUCUGAAGCAGUGGGGGCAGCUGCUUAUAGAAAGAUCUGGCAGUGUAAGGAAGAAUCCCCCCCACCAGACACCUCAUCCCUGACUGAAUUCACAUACCUGCCCAUCACUGGGGGCUUCCUGAAGGAGAUGACACCUGAACUAAGUCCUAGGCAUAUUAUAGGCUCUAGGAUGGUAAUGACCCAUCCACCUUACUCCCUGUCAGGUUCUCAGUUCUAGAGUUGUGUCUUACGUGGUGGAGAACAGGGACAACUGUUGCAUGAAUGAGUGAGGUGUUCCCAGGGUGCUAUGCUUCCAGCAGCAAGGCCAGCAUGAGUAAAGUCCAGUGUGGCUGGGAAACCAAGGAGCUCAGCCAGGAGCAGAGGCAGGCCAGCCCUGAGAACUGUGGCAAGGAUUCUGGUCUGGGUCUAAGAGCAAUGGGGAGCCACAGAAGGGUUCUGAGCAGGAGUGUAAGGUGAGUGUAUGUGUUUCAAGAUACCUACCGACUGCAUACAGAAUAAGGGAGUGAAGAGCUCCUAUGGAGCCAGGGUGCAGGUGAGAAAGGGGGGUGGCUCGGGGUAUGGGAAGCAGGGGUGGAGAGAAGUGAGUUGAGAGAUGCGAUGGUAGAACUGGCAGAGUUUAGUAACAAUGGAUGUUGGAGGCACGUGGUGUGAAAAAGGGGGUGUCAAGGGCAGCUUCCAGGUUUCCUGUGGGCACCCCCUUCAGUGAGUUAGGAAAUGCAGCACAGCAGUACCUAGUGGCUCAGUGGGUUAAGUGUCUGACUUUGGCUCAGGUCAUGAUCUCAUGCUUCAUGAGUUCGAGCCCCACGUCGGGCUCUGUGCUGACAGUGCAGAGCCUGCUUGGGAUUCUCUCUCUCUCUCUCUCUCUCUCUCUCUCUCCCCCCCCCCCCCCCCCCCCCCCCCCCCCCCGAUCCUCUCCUGCUCGUAUUUUCUCUCUCUCCCAAAAUAAAUACACUUCAAGAGGAGCAAGUGUGGAGGGGAGGACGAUGGGAUUCGAGCUCCUUGAGAAUGGGCUCCUGAGGAAAACCAAGAGGGAUUGACACAGGUAACGGGAUCCUGGUGUCUGGCACCCAGCAGGGCUGUCUGGGUGAGGAGAGACCCCGGCUAACAGCUGCUCCUGUAAGGCCAGCUGCCUACCCCCAACUACCCCUGCCCUACCCUCGGGGCUGGGCCCCACCUCCCUGCCCCCCAUUCUGUGGGCUCUCCCCUAUGUUUCCCUCAGACAUCCUCAUCCUGACAGCUCCCCUGAAAAACGUGUACUGUGAGCCUACCACACUGAGGUCCUGUGAACAUGACAGACUAAAAUGCCUGCCGCGGGUUCCAGCAAAAGAGCAGGCAACAAACAAGCAGAUGGAUGACCUAAUGCCCAGGAGGGAUGAGGAUCAGGAAGAAAAACAAAGCAGAGGAGGGUGAUAGGUGGUGAAGGAAGACCUCCCAAGGAGGUGACAUCUGAGAGACAGGGAGGGGACAUGUUGGGAAGGGGGCCCCGUAAGGCAGCAGAGUGGGGGGCAGCUCCUGACCUCGCAGCACCUAGGCCCUGCCUCCCAGGUUUCUCAAGUUCCCUUUCAGCCCUCACUGAGUGGGAAGUUUCGCUCACAGCCGAUAUCCCACCUGACUCCAACUGUGGCCACGGCAGCCACACCCACUGAGCAGCCCAGCACGCCUCAAGCAGGCUCCCCCGGCCCUCUGCAGACCCGAUGAGGUCAGCCUGCCUCCCAGGCCUCACCCUCUCCCCUGCCCCAAGCCCAGCCUUUCCCAGCCACCUGUACCUGAGCCUUCAGAUGGGUGAGCCUGACUCUCCAGUGCCACCUGAACUGGCCCUGCCCGCCCCCUCCCCUGCCUGUCCUCCUGAACCGUGGGCCCCCUACCUGCAGCCAUGACUUCUUAUCCCCACAGCCCUCUGCAAGCCUGUACCUGCAGGUGCUGAGCUCAGCCUGGCCAUACCAGCCCAUCACUGCUGUAUCCUGGCAUGCCAGCCAGCCACUUCCUUCGUCCAGCCGCCCACCCCCACCCCCCUGACGGCCAGUCCCUCCUACCCACCCCUCACCUGGGCCCAGAAGAUGGGUGGGCUCGGGGCAGCCAUCCCAGUAGCACCUCACGCGGGCAUGACCCAGCCGCUCUCCCCUCCCCCUUACCUGGAGGUGGGCAAGGUCGGCCCAGGAGCGGGGGCCCAGGGCGCGGCUGCGCAGCCGGUUGCCGGUGAGGUAGAGCUCACGCAGCUGGGCCAUGCCGGCCAGCGCUCCGCGCGCCAGGGCUGCCAAUUCAUUGCGCUUGACCUUCAGCACAUGCACGUUGCGCGGCAGCCCAGGUGGCAAGGUGUGCAGCCGGUUACCGGACAGGUCCAGCGAGCGCAGCAGGCGCAGCUUGCGGAAGGCAUCUCGGUGCACCUGUGGGCUGGUGAUGCGGUUGUAGCUGAGGUUGAGCUCCUCCAGGAAGUAGGUGGUGGCGAAGUCGUCGCGGCCAAUGCCGGUGAUCUGGUUGUGCAGGAUCAUGAGAGUGCGCACGCGCCGGGGCAGGCCGCUGGGCACGCGCUCUAGAGCGUUGUUGUACAGGUGCACCGUGUGCAGCCGCUUAAGGCCCUGGAAGGCACGCGGGUGGAUGCCGCGCGCGUGCAGCUGGUUGCUGUGCAGCAGCAGGUACUCGAGGCUGCGGAUGGGCGUCAGCACGUCUGCGUCCACGCUCCGGAUGGCGUUCUUCUCCAGGUGCAGGAGCACGAGGCUGCGCGGCAGCCCUGCCGGGACCCGCGACAGGUUGUUGCUGGACAGAUCGAGGUACUCCAGGCUGGACAGCUUCCUGUGGCAGGGAGGAAUUGGGAUGGUUGGCCGAGGCCCACGGUGUUUGGUCCACCCCUACUCCCAAGGGAGAUGGUGGGGGACCUGCCUCUAACUCAUCGCAGCUCUGUGACUAGCUCACUAGGGGAGCUCAGUCCUCUUGGAGCCGGUCCUUGGGUUGAUUCAGUGACACGUUGGUGAAGGAAGAAUCUAGCAUGGUUUUUGACACAUAGAAGUCAAUUUGAAGACCAAUUGUUUAAGGCUUUUUGUGGCUACCCUGGGCCCUAAAAAAUGAAAACAUAUUUGCCUUCAGCAAGUAUACUCCAGUUUCAACUUUGUACCAAGAAGCCAGCCUCACUGGAAGUGGGGCAGGCCUUCUCUAGACAUAUCACUUGUUCUUGGGACAGGCGUGUCAGCAAAGGCACAAGCCCAAAGUUCCUUCUCCAGGAACCUGGUGGGGGACAGGUAGGUGACAGGCAUGUGUGAGAGGACCCGGCAGGGUGGGCCCAGGGAGCAGCUUCCCGGUUGCCGUGCUCACACGGAGGGCCCAGGUGGGGCUCACCAGAAGGUUUCAUUGUCCAGACCCUCGUCAGUCAGGUAAUUGUUCUGCAGGUACAGUUCACGCAGAUUGCUCAGCUCACUGAAGGCACCUGGUGGGAUCUUCUCCAGCUUGUUGUUCUGAGGGGUGGGAUGGUGGGGAGUAUGAGGGACAGCUGAGGGGCAGGGGCGGAGCCCUGGAUGAGAUGUGGAGGGGAGUCUAGGGGAACCAUGCGAGGAUGCACAGGCCUGGAGGAUGCUGCAUGUGAUAUUGACAGCCAGGUACCCAGGCUUCUGCCUGGUUCUCCACAGUGGACACUGUGCCCUCCGGCGUGUGCCCAAGGCCCCACAGCCUCACCACGGUGCCUGUGUGGGCCUGGGCUCUUCCCCCACUGCAGGACCCUGCUCUUUUGCCGCCCCCCCCCCAUGCUCUCCCUCCCACCUUGAGGUGCAGCUUAUAGAGGGCAGGUGGCAGGUGCUUGGGCACGUGGCGCAGGAAGUUGCUGGACAGAAUGAGGAUCUCGACGUUGCUGGAGCCGUUGAACAUGUUGUCCGGCAGCCCGGCAUCCGCCAGCUUGUUGUUGUGCAGGUACACGGACCUGGGGGAUGAGGCACAGGUCCUCACCCACCCAUGCCCACCCCUCUUCCAACCAGCUCAUCUGAUGAGCCUUCAGACCUUGCUCAGGUUGGGCCUAGGCCCAGGGCACCCUCCUCCCAUUUGAAGGACCUCAGACCCCACCUAAUCCAGUGCCUCCUAAACAACCAGGGAGACCAAGGACCUACCAGAGGCUGCCCCCUCACGUCAGUGGCAGAAACAGGAUUUCCUGACCCCUAGUCUGUGCUCCUCCACACCCUUCAAGGUUCUCAGUCAUUGCCUGACUGUUGCAGCCCUGGAAUCCUGCGUGCCAACCCCAAGCAGCUGGCUCUGAGUUCUGCAGGACUUCCCACGAUGGGGGCUAUCCCCACUACCUCUUUGUCUCAAGUGUCCACUACAGGGCCUGGCUCAGAGGAGGUGAACUCUCAUUCAUUCAGCAAAUAUAUAGUGAUUGUCCCUAUGUGCCGGGACUGUUCUAGACUCUGAAGAUAUAAGCAGUGGACACAACCAACAAGACCCUGCCUUCAUGGAAUUAACAUACUAGAAGGAGCAAAGAUAAAAAAUAAGAGAAGAUAUUCUAAACAUAAAAGAACUCAUUCUUGCUGUGUGGCCUCUCUUGGGCCUCAGCCUUCUCAUCUGUAGGAUGGGACCAUGCACAGUGACCCCAUGGAGAGAAUCAAGUGAGAUGACAGAUUCAGGGACGGAAGCAGAAGCAGCACCAGGGAUUGUCAGUACCUGCCCCCCCCCCCCAACCACCCUGCCCUGCUCACACACCUGUGCUACUCUUCCCAAAGCAGCUCUUGGGGAGGGGCAGCUCUGUCUGCUGGAAGAUGCUUCCUUCCCACAGGGGCUGGGGAAGGAGGGAAAGACCCUCCACCCAGCUCCCCACAGUUCCACAGACAUCACUCUCUGUCCUUGCCUCUUGGACUGAUUGCUUUCACUCCUCAGAUCCUGUGCCCCUGCAGCCCGUGGGCAUCCCUCACCACAGCCCUGAGCAAGGGCAUCAUGCCUGCACUGCCCAGCAUGCCCCUCCUCCAGGGCCUGUCCUCUGCCUGGCUUGGGGCUGGGAGUGUCUCAGCUUCUCCCCCUUCCCCAGCCUGAGCCCAGGGCCCCCGUCUGACCUCUGACCUCUGACCUCAAGUUUGGCUUCUGGCCAAAAGUGAGCCCGUAAAUCUUGGUGAGAUAGUUGGCAGCGAAGUCCACGCUGAUCAGGGUGUUUGGCAGGAACCGGGGUGCCAACGUCAGCUGGAAAGGGAAGAGUUGGGGCAGAAAGACCAAUGGCGGGCAGAGGCCAGCUCUGGGUCUCACUGCCUGCUGCUCAUCUGGGCUCCUCUUUGCAACCAGAGCCAUCUUUCUAAACUGGAAGCCCGUCCCACUCCCCUGAGUGUGCAAAAACAGAACUCCGUGGCCCCCCACAGCCCUAAACAUUUAAAGCCCCCUAGGCCUGUCCCCUGCCCUGCCUGUCCUCUUGGCCUCUCCCCUCAUCGCUCCCUGACACAGACCCUCUGUCCAGCUACAGUGAGCACCCACUUCUCCAGACACGCCCUCCCCCUGCCCAGUGUCUAGCCUUCAUUCAUUCAACAGUAGUCCCUGAGUCUGCAACACUGCAGGCAUGUGUCCAGGAGCUGGAUGUGUCCUGAGGAACAAGACAGAGAAGUGCCUCCACCCCCACCCCCAAAGCUUACAUCUCAAUGGAGAAGACAAUAAACAAGGCACAAAAGUAUCCAAUAGUGAUAGCGAGUUAAAACAGGCUGAAGACGGAAUAACUGGGUUGGGUGCUCGGGGAACAGGUGACACUUAAGGCAUGAAGGCACCGUUAAUGCCAUCUGAGGGGAGAGCACCCACGGCAGCAGGGGCAGCGAGUGUAGGCCCCACUUGGGGGUUGCCAGGUUUGGGGGCUGGAGGAGAGGGAGCGAGUGGGAAUAGGAGUUGAGUGAGGCAGGCGGGCCCACACACAGGCCAUCUGCCAUGGGGAGAAGUGUGGCUUUCAUUCUGCCUGGAAAGUAAAGCCUCAGGAGCUUUGAGAUGGGGAGGGCAGGUUGGAGGGGUGGAAGCAGGUGUGAUUUUUAAAGGUCACUCUGGCUUCUCUGUGGAGAAGGAGGAGCAAACAGGGAAGCAGGGCCGUCGUGGUGCAGGCUGGUGGACCGGGGCCGGAGGGGAGCCGAGGGCGUGCAGUGGGAUUAGGCGUGGGUGAGCAAAGCGCCCUGGAUUUGUGGCUCAGCCGAGCGGUGCUGUAGGUGGUUGGAGAUGACCUUUAUGGGGGGCAGGGGAGAAGGCCGCAGGAAAAUUGGGCUUUCGGGGUUGUGGGAGGCAAGCAGAGUUCUAGGUCCAUUAGACAUCUAGGGGAGAUGUCGAGGAGGCGGGUGGAUCUUUGAGUCUCCUGUGGGAGGAGUGGAAAAGGCUGGGGGCUGCCACUGGACAUGGCCAUGAUGUAGAUGGGUGCUAAAGCCUGGGGAGGGGAUGGGUCACCUCGAGAGACCUCAGAGAGAAGAGGCCAGGACAGAGCCCUGGGACACACCAAAUAUUUUGAAGUUGAGUGCCUUCGUGCCUUUUCUCAUGCUCUCUCUUUGGCAGUGCCUCCCCCUUAGGGCCCCUGGCUGAAAUCCCGCUACCCUUCAUGGCCCUGCUCAAAUGCCAUCUCCUCCAGGAAGCCCUCCAAGUGGCUAUCACCUUCCUGCACUUCUGUAAGGCCUUGGCCUCCGUUUUCAUUAUCUGACCACUCUGAUGCCCUGCAGUGAGGUGUGAGGUCUCACCGGGACCAUGUCUGAGCAGCAAUGGGGACCCAGCGACCUGAGCUCAGCCUCCAACACCAGGGGGCCCUUUACCUUGUUAUUGGCCAAGUACAGGUAGUUGAGGUUGGUCAGAUGCUCAAACGCCUCCUCCGGGAGCCCUUCAAAGGACAGGCAUCGGUCAGAGCCCUGGAUGAAGGAGAUGCUACAAGGGAGCACACCACCACCGACCCCCCAGUGCCCACCCCACUUGCCAGGACCGGGAGGGCCCUCCCUGAGGCACGUUGGGUUGUGAUCCCUUCCCAACCAGUCCCAGCAGCCCUGUUUUCUUUCCCCUUGCUCCCGGGAGCCCCGGCUCAGAGGAGCAGGUAGACAGUGUCUACUCACAAAUGACCAAUUCUUCACCUGCUCGGGGGCACCCACGUGGGAAUGGGUCCUCAUAAGGUCAGGCCAUGGGGCAGAGGACCCAUCCCCACCCUUCCCCAUCAGGAAGGAGUGCUUUCCUCAGGUGCAGCCCUAGAGGAUCAGAGACCCUCCUCAUACCUCUGCAGGGCAGAGCUGUGGCCCCUGUGCCCCCCCACCCCUGCCACCAUCUGGCCCAUCCCUGUCCCAGCUGGCAGCUGUAGUGUCAGGACUCGGCUGUUGCUGGGAGCCCAGCCAAACUGGCCCUUCUCCAGUCCUGAGGCCAGCCUCUGACACUCAGUUCCGGGCUCCCAGACCCUCAGAUGCUGGGACGCACCCAAGCAUCUAAGGAGAGGGAACAGUUACAUAAACCGUGCAGGGUCCCUCUGUAGAAUACCUGGCUGCCGCUGUGUGAAAUGAUGGCCACUGAGAGUUUUUUGCAACAUGAAAAAUGCUGCUUUGCUAACUGCUAAGUGUAGCAGAGCAAUUAUGACAGUUAUAAUAGCUAAACUGUAAGCUCAGCUAUAAAUGAAAAAACACAAAGAAAAGAGACUAGAUUGAAUUGUGGUGAUGGUUGUACAACUAUGUAAACUUACCAAAACUCAUCAAAUUGUACUUUUAUGUUGGGUGAAUCUUACAGCAUAUAAGUAAAGUAGAAAGAAACAUACCCAAACGUUAGUAGUGAUUAACUCCACGUGGCAGAAUUAUAAGUGGGUUUUUUCUUUUCCAUUUUGUUUUCUACAUUUCCAAAUUUUCUGUUAUAAAUUAUUUUCAUCAUCAGAAAAAAAUAACUUUUUACAAUGUGAGUGUUCUACGCAUCUUUGAUUCUGAAGGCCUUCUGUGAAUAUGAGUCUAUGAGAGGGGUGCAUAGGUGGCUCAAUCACUUAAGUGUCUGACUUCUGCUCAGGUCAUGAUCUCGCGGUUUAUGAGUUUGAGCCCCGUGUCAGGCUCUGUGCUGACAGCUCGGAGCCCGGAGCCUGCUUCAGGCUCUCCCCCUCUUUCUGCCCCUCCUCCGCGCGUCCUCUCUCUCUCUCUCUCAAAAAUAAAUAAAUGUUAAAAAAAAUAAUAAUAAAAAUAAAGAGUCUAUGAGAAAGGUCCUGGGAAUCUCAGCCUUUCCCCUGACCCAACUCCCAGGUCUCAGAAACCCACAGGGGUGACUCUUAGGCAACCACAGGGAGCCCCUGGCCGUGAGGCCCUGCUGCCAGCCCAGCCCUGCUGUUUUUCGUAUCCCAGGAUCUGCAGGGUGGAGCUCUUCCCAUGGGCACCAGUCCCCACCCCCUCGUGUCCCUCUCCUGGGCUCUGGGUGAUCCCUCACCUCGGGAAGUCAGACGGUUGUUCUGGAGGUUCAGAGUUUCCAGUCGAUGCAAUCUGGAGAGCUCCUGGGGGUAGAUCUUCUCCAACUGGUUGUUCUGGGGAGUAAGGGCCAGGGGUGGUGAGGAGGCAGGCUCACUAGAGGCCUGCCCCCACCCUCAGUCCCAGUCCCAGGAGCCAGUCCCUCUGCUGGGCACCUCCCUUGGGAUUCACCCUCAUGCAGACAGGCCCUGGGUCUGGGCCAGGCCCGGGCCUCAGCGCUGGAGGCACAGCAGUGACCACAAAAGGCAUGCAGGUCCCACCUUCUAGGAGCCCAGAUGGGAGCAUCUCCAGGUGGUUCAAACUUGGAGUGCCGCCUCCCCUCUAGACCCGCUCCCUUCAUGUUCCCACUGGAUGACAGGCAUCCGCAGCCCAUUCUCCCCACCCCAAGCCAGAAACUACUUUUGGCUCCCUUUCUCGGGUUGGGGGGGGGAACCUGGGUCCUCACUCCCUUUGGAAUGCUUUAAAACCUUCCUCCAAAAGUCUUCCUGAAUUGGAUUGAGGCCAGACUAGGAACUGCUAUGGGCCCCACAGCACUAGUCCUUCUGUCUCCAUCUGUUGUCUUUACCUGUUUAGAUCUCUGCCUCCCCCAUAGGCUGUUCAAACCCUCCCUACACGCCCAGCAUCUGACACAGCACCAGACGUAUCAAGCAUGCACCCGGGAGACUUUUAUGAAUAAAUGAGUGAAUGAACCAACAGUAAGUGUUGUCCUUAACUUGUCCCUUUCCCUCAUGGGCUACCCUGGCCGCGGGCUCCCUCCACCAUCACCCUAGACCUAUCAGUUUGAGUGACCAUUGGGCAGAUCACUUUCCUUCACUAGGCUUGAUCUCUGGAAAUGGGUACGAGAGCCCCUCUCUCUCCUCCAGAGCUGCUGGGCCACACAAAGUUGGGUGCACCAGAACUCCCAGAGUCCCCCAUCUGGAACACUGUGUCCCACUUCUCAAAAUCUAGCCUGCACCUCAGCUGGGGAGAAUACUCUAUCCUCUGAGCCCCCCAGAGCAUCAAUCAGGGUUGACUUUCUCUUGUUCUCCUGGCCUGUAAUGGUGUCUGGGCACCCCGUCCAUUCAGAGGGUCACCUGCCAGGCAGAUCUGUGUCCUUUUUUCCCUCAGCCCAGACUCCUCCAAGUAAAACAAAGCAGUUAUAAUAUCACGUUACUCUGUGACUGGGACAUCAGAGCGGGGAAUGCCCUAGCACCUUGCGUCUGGGGUUGGGGAGCCACAGGAACUGGGGGUUCUGGGCCAGGAGCCGCGAGUGUAGAGGGCAGCCCCUGGUGACCGCUGUUGCAAUGGCGGCUUCACCUGCAGAGACAGAUGGUUGGUGUGCUCAGGCAGGUCCCCCGGGAACUCACGCAGGUCAAUGCCACCACAGUCCACAACACCUUCUUGGGAGCAGGCACAGUCUCGGGGGCAGUUGAUGGUGGCAGGGCCAGGCCCUGGCUCCUCAGGGCUCAGGACCAACACUGGCUCCUCCAUGAAUUCGUUCUCUUCAGGGCUCAGGCUGUGGGCACCACCUCGGCCAAACCCUG
rnacentral:lncRNA from 1 species